CUACAAACCCGCGCUAUCGUUCCGAAUUAUAUUUGGAAAGGAAAGUCCGGACAGCACAGGGCAGCCCACCAUGUGUUAAACAUGGCUUUCCCGGUUUCCGGGAAAAGAGAAAGUGCCACAGAAAAUAACAGCCUCUCCCUAACCCUCUCCUAAGGAAAGGGAAUGGCAAGGCUACGGUGAAAAUGUGAGGUAAGAGCUCACGUUCUGUUGCAGUGAUGCAACAGGAGGGUAAACCUUGGGCGCUGCAAUGCCACGUAAAGAAGCUAUAGAGUUGCCCGCUCUGUUUCUGGGUAGGCAGCACAGAUAAAUGAUAGCUUAAAACAGAAUCCGGCUUAUGGGGUUUGUAGUUCU
rnacentral:RNase_P_RNA from 1 species